rnacentral:lncRNA from 1 species
AUAUACUGAUAUGUGCACACACAUGCACCCAUACGCGUUGAUAAGUGCGUAUAUAUUGUGCAUGCAUACACUUAUACAUGCCUUCUUUAUACAUUGAAAUAUAUGAUCAUAUAAACAUAUAUUAACAGUUAUUAUAUAAAUAUAUAUAAACAGUGUGUCUAUAUAUAUACUGAUAUGUUUAUACGUGUAUGUUUAAACUAGCUAUCAGUUAUAUGUUUAAACUAGCUAUCAGUUAUAUAUACACUGAAAUGCACACACAUAUGUACCCUUACACAUUGAUAGCACAUAUAUACAUUUUUAUGCACACAUAUAUAUAUGAACAUAUAUACACUUAUUAUCAGUUUCUACUGUUAUUAGCGUACACGUAUAUUACUAUGUAUAUGAAUGCACAGGUGGCUAUUGCAGCCAAUAAGGUAAAUGGACAUAUUUCCCCCCACCCCUCCUUUUUGAUUAUUUGCCUCUCAAUUCUUUCCAUUCGAAUCAUUAUCUUCCAUUUGAAUGAUUUUUCCUUAUACAAUUUUCCAAACUGUGAUAAAUUCAGACCUUAAAGAAUUAUUUGUUCUAGCUAUCACCUCUAAUCAUAUAAGCCUGGGCGAAAUUCUAUAUUAAUUUGUAUAGAAUUAGGCAUAAAAAUGGGUUUCUUCUCUUGGUGAAUUGGGUAUGCUAAAUACCCAAUUGUGAUAGUCCAUCUAAAUUUUUUGUCUUAUUUGUACUUGUUUUUAUUAUUAUUGAUGAGCUUCAUCUUCAUCGAGUUUUCUUGUAAAGGAACAAGCAUUAAAGCAACUUAUCAUCGAGUACAUUAUUCGAUAUUUGUGAUCUUGAUCUUGCAAGCUUGAUUUGAUUAAUGGUUCUUUCUUCUCUAGUAUCGUACUUAUCUUGCUUCUUUCAUGCAAAAAUGGAGUGAAUUUUCUGAAACUUUACUUGUGGUUUGCAAUUUUAUUAAGUAAAUUUUUCUUAAUACACACACACUCUUUAUUAAGUAACUUUUUCUUAACACACACACACUCUAUCUUCUUUCAUGCAAAUAUGGAGUGAAUUUUCAAGAGUAUUAUUUGUGGUUUGCAAUUGUAUUAAGUAACUUUUCUUAACACACACCACAUACACACACACACACACUCACACUCACAUUCACACUCACUCACUCUCACUCUCACUCUCACUCUCUCUCACCCUCACACUCACACUCACACUCACACUCACUCUCACACUCAGACACACACACACACACACACACUCACACGAACACGAACACGAACACGAACACGAACACGAACACACACACUCACACUCACACUCACACUCACACUCACACUCAUACACUCACAAACACGUACUCAUACAGUCACACACGCUCACUCUCACACAUUCACGCUCAUGCUCACAUUCACACUCAGAUAUAUAGUACACAUACACAUGUUGUGUAUGGACUGAUGUGUGUAUAUAUAUUAUGAUAUGUUUAUGCAUUUAUAUAUACAGUUGUUUGCUAUCAGUUAUAUACAAUUAUCAAUGUAUGUAUAUAAUGAUACGUGCACGCACAUGCACCCUUACGCAUUGAUAAGUGCGUAUGUACGGUAUAUGUUUGCACUAAUACAUGCAUACUAUAUAGAUAUAUAUGACCAUAUAGACAUUUAUUAGCACUUUACAUAUAUAUAUAUAUAGUUACGAUAUGUAUAUACUGAUAUGUUUUUGCGUGUAUGUAUAAACUUCCUAUCAGUUAUAUAUACACUGAUAUGCGCCCACACAUGCACCCUUACGUAUUGAUAGGGCAUACGUACAUUCCUAUAUACACUGAUAUGUAUGACCCUAUGAACACUACUUAUCAGUUUAUACAGUUAUUGGUGUAUAUGUACACUGAUAUGUAUAUAUUCACUCAUGUGCAUAUCUGUAUUGGGUUUAUAUAUACACUACUAUAUAAGACCAUAUGUGUACUUAUUAUCAGUGAUGUAUAUAAUUCUUAGCUCAAUUUGUGUACGUAUUGAUGUAUAUCAAUAUAUACCAUUCUUUUCAGAGUAUAUAUAUACUGAUGCAUAUAACCAUAUAAUACAUUAGUUAUAAGCUAUAUAUACAAUUAUUAGUAUGUAAAAAUACAUUGAUAUGUGUGUGUGAUGUCUGUAUUUAUAUGAUGUGUAUAUACGGAUUUGUGUGUAUGUGUAAAGUGCAUAACUAUAUAUAUACACUACAUUAAUAUAUACAUUGAUGUAUAUGACCAUACAUACACUUAUUAUUACUAUAUACCUUUAUUAACGUAUAUGUACACUGAUUUAUAUACUACACACACUCACUGUCACACUCACUCUUACCCUCACCCUCACACUCACACUCAUACUCACACUCACACUCACACUCACACUCACACUCACUCACUCAUACACACACACACUCACACACUUACACUCACACUCACACUCGCACCAGCACUCUCACUCUCACUCGCACUCACACUGACAUUGACACUUACACACACUCACACUCACACUCACACUCACAAAUAUAUACACUAUCACUUGUAAUCAAAUAUGCAAUUGCGAAAUUCCUUAUUACUUUGUAAAAAAUUAGGCAUAAGAAUGGGUUUCUUCUCUUGAUGAAUUGGGUAUGUUGAAUACCCUAUUGUGAUAGUCCAUGUAAAUUUUUUAUCUUAUUUGUACUUGUUUUUUAUUAUUAUUGAUGAGCUUCAUCUUCAAAUUGAGUUUUCUUGUAAAUCAACAAGCACGAAAGCAACUUAUCAUAGAGGCGGAUCUCUUUACGUUAUUCGAUAUUUGAGUUGCUUGAUGGUUCUUUCUUCUCUAUUAUAGUAUUGCUCUUGCUUCUUUCAUGCAAAUAAAGUGUGAAUUUUCUAGAGCUUUACUUGUGGCUUGCAAUUUUAUUAAGUAACUUUUUCUUAACACACACACACUCUUGCUUCUUUCAUGCAAAUAUGGAGUUAAUUUUCUGGCGCUUUACUUGUGUUUUUGCAAUUUUAUUAAGGAAAUUUUUCUUUACACACACACAUGCACCACACACACACACACACUCACACUCACACUCACUCUCACACUCACACUCACACUAAUGUAUAGGAAUGGGUUUAUAUAUACACUAAUGUAUAAGGUCAUGUAUAUACUUAUUAUCAGUGAUAUAUACAGUUAUCAGCUCUAUAUGUUUAUGUAUUGAUGUAUAUAAGCAUAGAAUACAUUAGUUAUCGGUUAUAUAUACAAUUACUAGUGUGAAAAAUACAUUGAUGUGUGUGUGAUGUUUGUGUAUGUGUAAAGUACGUAACUGUAUAUAUACAAUGUAUUAAUAUUUACUUUUAUGAAAAUACUGUUAAUGGCACAAAUUAAAGCUCAAAGCAUAAUUUUUUACUGAUAUAUAAGAAGCAGAGAGUGUGACUACAGGACCAAGUAAUCAAUAUUUUAUUGUUGAUUGUGUAAACUGUAAACUUACAGGAGCAAGCAAUUGUACAUAUAGGAUUAGUUCCCCAAACUUAAUCCUUCAGCUCUGUUUCCUCAAGAAAAUGAAAAGCCCUCUUCAAACUAUCCCAAAUCAGAAAGAAAAACCCUUUUCAAACUAUCCGAAAUCAGCUUUUCAUCUUCCUAAAUCAGCAUCCCAUCUUCCUUUUCUCUCUCUAAAAAUCAGUUAAGGCCUCUUCCAUUAGGGUUCUUUCUUUUCUCUCUAAAAAUCACUUAGGGCGGCCCCUUCCAUUAGGGUUUGUGAAAACUAUUUUAUUCUUCUUUCUUCUUGCUAUAAACCCUAAUGGUUAUGAGCCGAGCCAUAUUUACUUCUCUUCCUUUCCUUCGUCGUUUUUCUUCUUCUCUUUACACAGUAAACAUAGAUGUAAAUCCCAAAUUUAUAUGAACUUCUUCCAACUAAAUAAAUUUAUAAAACUUUAACCAUAGUUAUGGACUGACCAUAGACACCAUACCAUAAUUAAAUAAAUGUCGUGACAAAACAAAAAUCGUGUGUUUAUUUUUUGGUACCUGC